rnacentral:rRNA from 1 species
CCUACGGGGGGCAGCAGUGAGGAAUAUUGGUCAAUGGGCGAGAGCCUGAACCAGCAAAGUCGCGUGAAGGAUGACGGCCCUACGGGUUGUAAACUUCUUUUGUCAGGGAGCACUUGGGUCCACGCGUGGGCUUAGCGAGAGUACCUGAAGAAAAAGCAUCGGCUAAGUCCGUGCCAGCAGCCGCGGUAAUACGGAGGAUGCGAGCGUUAUCCGGAUUUGUUGGGUUUAAAGGGUGCGUAGGCUGAAUAUCAAGUCAGCGGUAAAAAUUCGGGGCUCAACCCCGUCGUGCCGUUGAAACUGAUGUUCUUGAGUGGGCGAGAAGUAGGCGGAAUGCGUGGUGUAGCGGUGAAAUGCAUAGAUAUCACGCAGAACUCCGAUUGCGAAGGCAGCAUACCGGCGCCCAACUGACGCUGAAGCACGAAAGCGUGGGGAUCGAACAGGAUUAGAUACCCGGUAGUC